AUGAUGAAUUCAGAAGUAAUUGGAUAUAGGAUUGAUUGGCUGAAGAAGUUCUGGUUCCCAGUUGAAUUUAUGGACUGCUGGGCAAUGUACCUUCUGGACAAGGAUGAAAAGACAGUGAUGGUGCUUGACCCAACUGAGACCGAUGUCAUGGAUGAGAUGAAAAUUAAACACGAGAGCCAUGCAAAGAAGUUCCAGCGAAGGUUCUGCUCUCUAUUCAACAACUAUUUCGGCAACGGGUUGGUUGAAACAGAGGGUUGGAAAUUCCUCUACCCAUUGGUGGCGCAGCAUGAACCGUGCAGCAGGGAAGACAGCGGAGUGUACAUCACACACUACUACACUGACUUCACCGGGUUGUACCUCCGUUCAACACAAAGCUAG
rnacentral:rRNA from 1 species